UACGUAGGGGGCAAGCGUUGUCCGGAUUUAUUGGGCGUAAAGAGCGUGUAGGCGGCCAUACAGGUCAGCUGUGAAAACUCGAGGCUCAACCUCGAGACGUCGGUUGAAACCGUAUGGCUAGAGUCCGGAAGAGGAGAGUGGAAUUCCCGGUGUAGCGGUGAAAUGCGCAGAUAUCGGGAAGAACACCCGUGGCGAAGGCGGCUCUCUGGGCCUUACCUGACGCUGAGGAGCGAAAGCGUGGGGAGCGAACAGG
rnacentral:rRNA from 1 species